CUAACGGUUCUUUUUACUUAGUAGAACCACCUUAUUUUUUUUAAAUCUAAGAGU
rfam:Mustela putorius furo unplaced genomic scaffold scaffold00070, whole genome shotgun sequence.